GGGGCGGAGCGGGGGAAAGGAGGCGGCCGGAUUGGCGAGCCCGCAGAACAAGGCCCCGCCCCCACCCUGCGCGCCGACGCGCCCAAUGGGCGGAGCGCGGUGCGCGCAGCUACCGCGAGAGGUUCCGUUGAAGCUGGCGCCGCCAUCUUGGAGUUGGGAGAGGCCGCGCGUCCCGUUCCCGUCCCUCUCCGGAGGGGCACGGGCGCGGGGGGGGGGCCGCGGGAGGCGGGGGAAGCAUGGGCGCCCGGCGCUGAGUUCGCAGCGUCCCGCCGACUCGUCCGUCCCCACGAAGGCCGCGCCGCGACGGGCGUGGGGUUGGGCGGGAUGGUGCAGUCCUGUUCCGCCUACCGCUGCCGGAACCGAUACGACAAAGAGAAGCCCAUCUCCUUCCACAAGUUUCCUCUUACAAGACCCGAUCUUUGCAAGAAGUGGGAAGCUGCUGUUAAGAGGAAAAACUUCAAGCCGACCAAGUACAGCAGCAUUUGCUCAGAACACUUUACCCCCGAUUGCUUUAAGAGGGAAUGCAAUAACAAGCUCCUAAAAGAGAAUGCUGUGCCCACAAUAUUCUGUUACACUGAACCCGGUGAAAAGUCUGAAGAAUUUGCAGAGCAGCCAGGAGAUCCACUGCCACCUCCUCCAUUGCCACCGCCGCCACCACCUCCACCACCACCACCACCACCAGCAGCUCCAGUGCUACCACAGUCUCCGUCAACUCCUUCUUUUCAUUUGUCUCAAAUAGAUGCCAGAUUGGUAGAUCCGAGUAUUGGAUUAUUGAUGCCCCCUCUCCAGACCCCCAGCAAUCUUGCUGUUUUUUGCGAUCAUAACUACACCGUCGAGGAUACAGUCCAUCAGCGAAAAAGAAUUCAACAGCUGGAGGAACAAGUUGAAAAACUGCGGAAGAAGCUCAAGACAGCGCAACAGCGGUGCCGGCGUCAGGAAAGACAAAUUGAGAAACUAAGAGAAAUUGUUCAGUUUCAGAAAGAAAAAGACAUAUUGGCAGGAAAAGGCUAUGUGAUUCUGCCUAAUGACUAUUUUGAAGUCGUAGAAGUACCUGCCUAGGAGUCACGAACAUCAGUUUUCACUUUGGUAGGCCAGGAAAUACAGUUUAAAAACUAAAUUCUUUCUAAUCCUAAUUCUAAAACAGUAAUUAAGCAGUCAUACAAAUAAGAUAAUAUUUUUUCUUCGUUGUCAUUUCAGUUUGAUAUACUUUUAAUAAAUUGAAGAUGCAAGUAUCUCAGAAUUAGAAUAUGCAAUGAAUUUACAAAAUAUUAAUUGCUUCCAGAAAGAAAGGAUGCAAGAUGGAAGACACAUAGGAAUUUACUUUUUUUACAAUGUCUGUCUUAUGCUUACAGGGACUGGAAACUGAAUCUGGGUGAGAGUGAAGUUUAGGUGGUUAUACACCUAGUGCUUUGUCAAAACUUCUAAUGUUGGCUUUGGUAAUCCCCAGUAAGUAGUUUUCACUGAUUUUAGAAAGAACAGAAUUAGGUCAGCUAACAUCUGCAAGUGCUGCAAAAAGAUAGCUAAGAUGCACAUUUCAGUCUGGGAAAACUUCCAACUUCAGUUUGCUAUGCAUUUGAAGAACUGCAAAAAGUAAUUCCUGGAUCCCUUUGGGUGAGGAAUUUCAAGUGUGACUUCCUGAAGCACAGUGGAUUACUGCAAUACCACACCCCCUGCCACCCGCCUCUGCGCCCCAACACUUGGUUGUGUACUCCCACCACCACCCUUCUUAUGUCCUCCAGUUCUCUGGAAGUGACUGAGGUGCUGGCUGUACCCUUCUGUGGGACACUUCAGCUCACUAAAGCAGCAGGUUUGGCUUGUAGUGGAGAGGCAGCAGAGGGCCAACAGUGCCACACCUGAUACAAGUUAAAGACAGGGCCAAAUGCAGGGCAUGAGAAGAAAUAAAUCCUCUCCUCUGGGUGCAAUGAGCAUUAUGUCAGCUUCUUCUGAAAAUACAUGGGUAGCUUCCUAAUCUGAAUGUUCAGCACCAUUCCCUUCCAUCUGGGCCAUACUUCUCUGUUUCCCCCCCACCUUAUGUGCUGCUGUGCUUGUUGGGCCCUUCCUUUGGGUGUUUUAACUUCAUAACUCUUCAGGGAAGCAGCUGAAUAAACUAAGUCUGCAAAUUAAAUUUUAGGUACACUGGUAGAUGGCUGAUACAUGGUGUGUGGAGUCCUUGUAUCUUUAAGCUGUUUGCUUUGGUGAAGUUCAUUUAACAGCUUUAGAUUUAACAUAAAUUCUAUUGAGGGGGUUGAUUAUUUGUUGUCUGGACAGUUUCAGAAGUAAUAUGCUGAAGAGGGGACUGCUGCUCAGUUGUCUUCCUUUCCUCUUACCAGAUGAUAGUAUAAGAAGAGAUGCAGCCUAUUGUGAUAACAGGCUUGAAUUUCUUCAAUUUCUUCUGCCGCAGCUAUUUUUUUUCCUUUCCAAAAAAAAUCUUGUUAACUUCUGGUAUAGUCAUGUCUGGGCUAAGUGUGGACUUUAGUAGACAAAUGAGGGCUCAGUACCACAGAGCUCUGAAGUGGAGAGAAAAGACUGGAACAGAAACAACUGAUUGUCUUUUAGCAAUUGACUCUUUAUGCACUGCACCCCGUCCCUCACUCUUUCACAAUCUCUCUCUGUGGUAGCAGUAUAGAAAGAGAAGAUGAAGGCUCUCUGCUACUGGUGAGGCUAGGAAAAUAAUUCUAGCUAGUAAGCACAAUAUGUUCCAUUAGCAUGUGUUAAAAUUUCCUAUACUUUUGGGAUCUGGUACAUCCGCACAAUCAUCUGUUAGAGAGGUCUGCAACAGUUACUGUUUGCAUUGGCCACAACUGUACCUGCAUUAGCACUAAUUUCAUAAACAUCUCUGAAAAAAUGUGAUUGGGAGUUAAAAAGCAGAGGUUGUAAUUGUAGGAUGGCAUGUGGUUUUUCACGUGUACAUGAAGUAGCUGACAUUUGUUUAAAUGCACUUCACUGAAGCCUAUUUUAUAAACUGAAAAAUUCAAGUGAGUUAGAAAAUAGCAAAAUUGGCAAAAAAUUUCUAUCAUUAAAUUACAGAAAUAUUUAUUUUGAAAUGGGUAGAUGCUUCAACAGAUAGGAAUUGGCAUAAUUUCUUAACAGAAGUUGUAUUGCUGAGCACCAAUUGUAUUGAAAGAAAACUGGUGGGAAGAGAAGUGAAGAAUAUGAGAUAAAGAGGAGAGACUCCUCAGAAGUCAGUUACAUCUGAAACAAGAACAUGCUUAUUAAAAUACAGCUACUACAGAUUGAGUCAAAAUCUAGGGUACUCCUUUGCUGCCUCCAUGCCACUUCGCUUACCUCUCCCUGUUGCCCCAAUUACCCUUUUGCUGCAGCAGGGUAUCUGAUGUAUGUGCAGUGUUUGCUUUUUUUCUUUUUACACUUCUGCAAAGUAUUAGAUUUCCCUGUCUAACUGGGACUUUUCAAGCUCAAGAGGUAUGCUUUGUGGGGAAAAAAAUGAAUAGCUAAAUACUUGAAUUACUUGUCAUGCUGAGGGAGUUCUUUGUCAUGGCUCUGUUUACUCCUGCAUUUCCAGUUACCAUCUUGUCUGUGUUGUCACUGGUGUGGUCUUAAAAACUAUGUCAGCAAAUUAAGGAAAUCAACAUGUCCAAGCAAUCUUCUGUCUUGCUGACAUUUCAUUUUCCUUCAGCUCUGUUAGGAUUUAAGCCCUUGGUGUCCUGUGUGAAUUGUGAAGGAGUUCUCUUGCAGCUGAAGAAAGUGCAAAGCAAAUCCCACUCUGAAUGUAGGAAGAAGGAAAGGAAGAUAGUUGAUUGGGUAAAACUAAAACCUCAACAGCUUCAGAAUGCUUUCCAAGGGACUCCUCCUGUUACUUGCUUUUCUGGACCCAGGCAGUUAUUUCUAGUUGCUCUUUUGCUUUCUUGCUUUCUUUCUUUUGUGAGGUCUGUUUUAGGUUUUAGGCUGCAGCUUUAUCUGUUUCCUGACAGCUUACGGCUUCAUCAGGUGGCUAUGGCAGGGUGGAAUGGGGUGAGCUAUGGUCUAAUUUUAACCAUCAAAACACAAACUGCUGAAGCAUGUUGAUGACUGCUAGUUCAGGUAUGUAACUCCUGCUGUUUUAAGCACAGCAGUUUAUUUACCAUAUUCUGCCACAAUAAUGAUUUGUUUAUAAAUGAGAAAGAGAAAAACAGGAUACAUGACUCAAAAAUAUUACAGCAGUUGCUCUUAGAGAUUUCCCUUUGUGUUUGUUCAAUGCAAAUUUUAUCUUCAUGUAGAGAACUCUGAUAGAACUGCAGCAUUUUAUUGCACAAAAUUGGCAGAAGACCUUACAGUGUUAUAUAGGCUGAAAGAGUUUAAAAGUGGGCAAAAAAAUGUGUUGCGAAGUUGCUGUUUAAUCCACUAUGACUCACUUUGAAACAGUUGCCAAAGAAAGUAAUCUUAAAUAUUCUUAAGUUAAAGAAAGCAUUUAAAUCAGUUACUGAGAAGGAAAGGUUCAAGUACCUCUCUUGAGAAUAGUUACAUUACAUUGUCAUAAUUAAAUUUUUGAUUAAGUCUGUCCACAGUCUUGCCACUAAGAGUUCAUUUAAAAUUGAGUAUCAGGCUUUUUGUUGUGCAAAAUUAGCCACUGAUAGUCCUGUAGAUGCUUCCUCCUAUUGUAAAGGAGGCAAAUAAAUUGUAGAGUCUGGACUCACACAUUCGGGAACUUAUGAAACGUGAUUGUCCUCUGCCUCUCAUUUGGUUCCAGGUGUCUUUUAGUUAGGGAUGAGUAUGGAGAAUGAUAUCAGGCCAGUCACUGGACUGUUUGGUUUGAUUGUUGUUGUGGUGGUGGUGGUUUUUUCUUUGUUGUGUUUUGUUUUGUUUUUUGGUUUGGUUUUGAUUUUAUUUUUUUUAUAUUCAUGGAUAACUUGAGGAAAUCAGGCAGGCUUCCCACUUCCUUUCAGGUUUCAUUGGAUGUGACCAUUAAAGAUGCAGAGUCUGAGGCUGUACUUGUCAUCUGUAGAAGAACCAAUACUCCAGUAUUUCAGGCAUGUAAGAUGUGUGACUUUCUACUGGAAGCUCUUCAAUUCAAUGACCUGGGACAGGAUCAGACUCUUCAUUCAUCACUUCAGUGAUGCUGAUGCUGUGAGGUCCAGAAGAAUACUGCCUGCGCAUAAAGAAAAUCUAAAGGAAGAGUUAUUCCCAGCCCAGUUGUGAACCAGCAAGUGGAGUCUUACAGCUCUCACAGGAGGUUGUGUGAGCUCCGGCCACAGAAGAUGGCCUUACUGAUAAAUGCUUCAUUCUAACUAUAUUCAGCUUGAUCAUGCAGGCUUGUCUCAUAGGUGUCCUCAGCUGACACAAUGUUAUAUCAAAUGAUUUUGUGGUGGUGGUUUUAAUCUGAGGAAUUCUAGGAGUCAGAAGAAUACUGUCAGAAGAAUAUUUGUGGUAUUGUGUUGAGGGACUGAAAAAUAAUUUAUUUGACUAUAACCUUAAAUCCUGUUGUUGUAUGUAUAUACUUUCAGCUCUUAAUUUUUUUCUUUCUAAGUUCAGAUAGGAAAAUAGUUUUACUAGUGUGUUUGGUUUUGGUUUUUUUUUUUUUUUCAUGAGAAGGGACUGAAAUAGUUCAGAGUUUAUUUAUGUGUUCAGCAUGGUGAGGAACCGGGCAGGUUCUUUAGUACAGAUAAUACAACAUGGAAAUCUCUUGGUUGCAUAUAAUAGGAAACAUCUAUUCCCCCAAGUGAAUGCUCAUGUAGCUGUUUCAGCUUAAAGAACUCAGCUUGUUUGGAAAUUAUCUAUGUCAAAUAUAGGUAUCCAUAAACCACAGUUAUAGGAUCUGUGGAGUUACCUUUCUUUGAUACUGUCAUCAGCUGACAAACUCAAGAAUUCCUCAUGGUAAAUCUACAUAUAACUGAAAAAAUUGUAAAUACAUAUGUAAUAAAUUUUACACUCAAAUGUUCAGGCAAGCUUAACCUAAUAGUAUCACUAUGGUGAUAACCAUCCUUCCAUCAAUAUUGAUAUUUACCUCUUGACCUGUCUACUAAGGUUGCUAGAACUUGGACUUUUUGAUUCAUAUAAUAGCCACCAGGUAAUUGACAUGUAUAUGAUUUCAGUGAUAAGAUGUAGUGAAAUUAAAUAAAUAUUUGCAAAUGGUGCUUUCUUGCGUUGUUCACAGUGUUGCCUGGAUUCCUACACCAAAUAAAAGCCCAGCAUCC